UCGUCAGCUCGUGUUGUGAAAUGUUGGGUUAAGUCCCGCAACGAGCGCAACCCUUAUCCUUUGUUGCCAGCGGUCCGGCCGGGAACUCAAAGGAGACUGCCAGUGAUAAACUGGAGGAAGGUGGGGAUGACGUCAAGUCAUCAUGGCCCUUACGACCAGGGCUACACACGUGCUACAAUGGCGCAUACAAAGAGAAGCGACCCCGCGAGAGCAAGCGGACCUCAUAAAGUGCGUCGUAGUCCGGAUUGGAGUCUGCAACUCGACUCCAUGAAGUCGGAAUCGCUAGUAAUCGUGGAUCAGAAUGCCACGGUGAAUACGUUCCCGGGCCUUGUACACACCGCCCGUCACACCAUGGGAGUGGGUUGCAAAAGAAGUAGGUAGCUUAACCUUCGGGAGGGCGCUUACCACUUUGUGAUUCAUGACUGGGGUGAAGUCGUAACAAGGUAGCCGUA
rnacentral:rRNA from 1 species